CCGCGCGCCAGCCGCCCAAACUCCGCCCACCCUCGCGGUGCCGGGCUCGCCGCCUGCCCCUGCGCUCCGGACCCUGCGGGGCCUGCGGAGGGACCCGGAGCUGAACCGAAGACGAAGGGUCGGGAUCCCAAAGUGCACGGGUCUGCAGUCACGCGGAAGCGGCGUGGACCCGGGGUCGAGCUGUUUGCUUGCAAGGUUGGGAGAAGGAAGAUGUCCAAACGAAGUUGAUCUUUGGGCGAAGGAGGCUGGGGAACUCAGUCCCCCUGCCGGAACGCAACACGUGAGUUUGGCCGGACCUCGCUGAGCCUCCGGGGAGGACUAGCCGCCCCUCGGGAAAGCGCAGUUGGAAAGUUGUGGGAGGCUGUUGGUGCCCUGUGCUCCCCGUUGUGUAAUUUAGGCGCUGCCAGCCGCACUGGGAAGUUGCUGGCCCUCCCGCCAGCUUGGUUCGGUCCCGGUCCCGGGCGGAUUUCAUGGCCCUCGGGGAACGUGGAGCCGGAGCCAGCGUGGGCGAACCCCGGCGCGCCCCCUCCCGCGGGGAUCCCCGGUGCCCGCUCCCUUCCGCUCGCCCGCUUUUCCGAUGCUCGCUGCUCCCCUCGCCACCGCAGCCGCCCUCACGCCGCCGCUUGUCCCUUGGAGCCUCCGCCUAAGUCCGGGAGGACAGAAUGACCGAGGUGCUGUGGUCCGCUGUCCCCAACGGGACAGACGCUCUCUCCGUGGGCGGCCCGGGCUCUCCCUGGGGAAACAGCACGGUGGCCUCCGUCGCUGCCGUCACCCCCACGUACACUUGCUCUCUGACCAAGACGGGCUUCCAGUUCUACUACCUGCCGGCGGUCUACAUUUUGGUGUUCAUCAUCGGCUUCCUGGGCAACAGCGUGGCCAUCUGGAUGUUCGUCUUCCACAUGAAGCCGUGGAGCGGCAUCUCCGUGUACAUGUUCAACUUGGCCUUGGCCGACUUCUUGUACGUGCUGACUCUGCCCGCGCUCAUCUUCUACUACUUUAAUAAGACAGACUGGAUCUUCGGGGACGCCAUGUGUAAGCUGCAGAGGUUCAUCUUCCACGUGAACCUCUAUGGCAGCAUCUUGUUCCUGACCUGCAUCAGCGUGCACCGCUACAGCGGCGUGGUGUAUCCGCUCAAGUCCCUGGGCAGGCUCAAGAAGAAGAACGCGGUCUACAUCAGUGUGCUGGUGUGGCUCGUCGUGGUCGUGGGGAUCUCCCCCAUCCUCUUCUACACCGGCACCCAGCUCCGGAAAAACAAAACCACCACCUGCUAUGACACCACCUCAGACGAGUACCUGCGAAGCUAUUUCAUCUACAGCAUGUGCACGACCGUGGCCAUGUUCUGUGUCCCCUUGGUGCUGAUUCUGGGCUGUUACGGAUUAAUUGUGAAAGCUUUGAUUUACAAUGACCUGGACAACUCACCUCUGAGGAGGAAAUCAAUUUACCUGGUGAUUAUUGUCCUGACUGUUUUUGGGGUGUCUUAUAUCCCUUUCCAUGUAAUGAAAACGAUGAAUUUGAGGGCCCGGCUGGAUUUUCAGACCCCAGAAAUGUGCGCCUUCAAUGACAGGGUUUAUGCUACUUAUCAGGUGACAAGAGGUCUAGCAAGUCUCAACAGCUGUGUGGAUCCCAUUCUCUAUUUCUUGGCAGGAGAUACUUUCAGAAGGAGGCUCUCCCGAGCGACCCGGAAAGCCUCCAGAAGAAGCGAGGCAAAUUUACAGUCCAAGAGUGAAGACAUGACCCUCAAUAUUUUAUCCGAGUUCAAGCAGAAUGGAGAUACAAGCUUGUGAAGAUGCAAGAAUCCCCAAACACCCACUGUUGUAACAUGGUAGGAUGCUUAAUAGAGCCAUGUGCUCCCCCCACCCCUUUAAGUUUCUAAAAGUUUAGAGAAAAAUCAAACCAAGAAGUUAGUGAGUUAAAAGAAGAAUAGAACUGGAAAUGUCCACACACACACUUAAGUUUGUUUGGGUUUGCUCUCAAGACCUCCCUUCUUUCUCACCAGAAGUCUCAGAACGUCCAGCAUGAUUUUACAGUCUGUGUUAAGGACAAUUGUUUCAGCUACCAGAGAACUUCUUAUAGAGUGCGGAUCCAUUGAGGAGGUGGACAGUGACUAGAAAUGUCCUUUUACUUCUUGGCAUGUUUUUUUUUCAGAGUGUUUCUUCUUUAAGUUUAUACAUCACGCAGUAGACAAUAGUGACAUGUGAAUGCAUGUCAGAUAGAAACAAGAAUGAUCUCACUAACUCCUUGCAGGCAAAAAAGCUCUCUGGGAAGUGUCUGUGUUCAUGGUGAAAACAUAAAGAGGGUCAGGAUGAAGCAGUGAUCUUAAAAUCUGACUCUUGACAUGUGAUGGUAUUAUUAACUAUUUUAACUAUUUUAAUGAAAAUAGAAGAAGUCUGUUGGCAUUUGAUGAAAGAACUGCUGAAAUCAUAGGAUUUAUCAGUUAACUAAAUUUCACAAUACAAAAUUAUUUUAAUGCCAAGUCCAAGGUGUUCUAUGACACACCAAGUACAUCUUUGACACUUUGAACAUCAACAUGUUUGCAUUGCAAUAGUGAAAAGGACAAACCAAGAAGAGACACAGCAUGAGUAGAAUUCAGAGUUAAAACCAUGACAUUGCCACUGGGCCAGCUUUGGAACUGUGACCCUUUCAAGACCAUUCUUUGUGUUAAAAAGGUUGGAUAACAUCUAGCUGUUGGGGCCUUGGGGGAUGUGGAAACAUUAGAACUACAAGCGGCCAGCGUUGCAUAAAAUCUGCUGCUGUACUUUGUAGGACUCUUCAAUUCCAGUCCUUGGCUAAAGAUUCUUAUGAAAUCCACCCAUUGUGAUGUGGACCUACGACUUGUAAAUUCUCUCAGUCCCCUUCAGGGGUACCUUAACCUGCCUUUGGAUACAAAAGAGGUCAGUGCUUAGAGCAGCUGGAAUCUGAUUGGCUGCAAUAGAGACGUGUAACUAGUUAGAGAUUUAUUGAAGCUUUGAUUUUGCUGAUCAGCUGUGGCUGUCAUAAUAGUAUUUAUUAAUGAAGCUCAUUAUUCUUCAGUUGCACAGAUUGAAAGACUUUCUGGAAAGGUCCAACAUACUGAUGUAAAUUCUAUUUAUUACAGUGUAUAAUAUGAAUGUCCCAGUGGUAUAUUUUACAUAAUAUAUGAUGCAUAGAUAAGAUGAAUUAUUGUAAAGUAUGACGCUUUUCAAAUACUAGUGUCUUGAAAUGUUUGUCUUCUGAUUUUUUGACCUAAAAUAUGAAACUCUGUGAUGCAAGUGGUUAAUUUUCUGUAGAAAUGCUUUUGCACGUUUUUCUUUUUAUUUAAAAUUUUUUCUAUACAGACAGAAUUUGUUGUCAAACUAUCAUAAGAUGAAUAGCAAGUACAACACAUCUGUCUGUAUUGUCUACAUUUUGUAUAAUGUUAUAGAAAAGUUUAUAUUGCCUUUUAAGAACAUUUAGAAUUGUGCCCUCAAAAAUGAUCAGAGCUUUUAUUUCCAAAUGCAAUAUACUUGUCCUAAAUUCAGAAUAGAGCUCUUAUGUGUUAGAUUGUCUGGUGAGAUGGGCAUUAUCAAUGUCACGUUAGAAUUUAAAGAAAAACUUGAGGGAGACAGGAGGGAAAGAGGCACCGGGCAUAAUCAGUGACCGUGCUCAGUUCUUACAUUUUUGUGCCAUAUUUCAUUAUAAGGGGAAAUAGUAUGAUCUUAAUUGCUUUGAGAUGGAGCCUCUAAGUAACACACUACCAGCAAGUUUAACACUGCUAUUGAUUUUAAACUGUUUGUUCAGUUGAUGACUUUAAUUCCAAGUUUCAUAGUGAUGACCGUAUUAUUAUAUAUUUGGCUGCUGAAUUCUGUUACAUUUUUUAUUCUGUUGUACAUUGUAUUGUAUACAUAAUGACAAAUUAAUAUGAAGGGGAAUAUAUGUGACAUAUCAAAAUUUGUGAAUUUGAAGUCUAGUAUGUUUCAGUGCUUUUGCAAAAAUGUUUAUUUUUAUAUUAUCUGUGAUUUAAUAUAGAUAAUUGACUAGGUUUCUUUGUGAUCAUUAGUGCCAUUAAAUGAGCGGUAUGGAAACAGUAUUACUUGACAUUUUGUGCUUUCUCAGGUUUAUCUAAAUCAAUGGUAGCUUAAUGGAUUCCCAACUAAUUGUGCACAAUUGUUUUAUUCAAAAGGAAUGUACAUUUCCUAUACAUUUGCAUGCAGGAGUGUACCAUAUGGUGUGCGUGUGUGCAAGGCAUGGCAGCCGACUUUGCAUCUGCUAUUGAUAAUAACAGCAGAGCCUAGAUAUAAUCGUGGUCACUAGAACUGUACCCACAAUAGACAACUACAACUAAAAAGUCUCAAUAAAACUAUGAAAUGUG